rnacentral:rRNA from 1 species
CCUACGGGUGGCAGCAGUGGGGAAUAUUGGGCAAUGGGCGAAAGCCUGACCCAGCAACGCCGCGUGAAGGAAGAAGGCUUUCGGGUUGUAAACUUCCUUUUAUAGGGAAGAGCAGAAGACGGUACCUGCCUAAUAAGCUACGCCUAACUACGUGCCAGCAGCCGCGGUAAUACGUAGGUGGCAAGCGUUGUCCGGAUUUACUGGGUGUAAAGGGCGUGUAGCCGGGCUGACAAGUCAGAUGUGAAAUCCGGGGGCUCAAACCCCGAACUGCAGUUGUCACUGUUGGUCGUGAGUAUCUGAGAGGCAGGCGGAAUUCGUGGUGUAGCGGUGAAAUGCGUAGAUAGUAGGAAGAACAC